UCAAUGACAAUAAAGUGUUUUCUGAUUCUGAUCCUCUAAAUAUUCGUCAUUGAUUCAGUAAAUCACUUUGAUUGUCUGAUCAUCCUCCUCAUGUUCUGAAUAUGAACCUCAGAGUAGAGAACAGGGCCGCCUCCUCCUCCUCAGAGCUUUUGUUUUGAAGGUUUAAAUCAGCUUCCGCCUUAAGCUAGCUUUGGCUUGACGUCAUCACGUUAAACCCACUUCGCCGUUCUGACGCAACGCCCCGCGCCUCCUCGGCCAUCCUCGGGUGUUCUCGGCUGAGCUGCUCGUUUCCUUCCGCCACAGGUGCAGAGAGGCUGAAACCGAGUGUUUGGCGCCCUCUGCCGUUCACACAGAGACUCUGAAACAGGAGCGAGUGUUUGAUGGAUCAUCUACAGACUUUAUAAUCAGCUGUUUUUUCUCUGUCAUUGAUUUAAGACUUCAGACUUUAAGCCUGUCCUGUUGGUUCAGUUUCUCUUUUAUUUCUUCAGCACAUUCAUAUUUGGUAUUUCCUGUUUUAUUUUGUAGAUCACUAACCCUUGUUCCUUUGUUCCUGUCUGGUCUGCCCCGCCCCCGUCUUGUCACACCUGUCUCCUCACCUGUUUCCCAUCCCCCUCUUUAUCUCUCCUGUAUUUAACCCUGUGUGUCUCGUCUCAGUUUGUUCCUCUUCUGAUCUUGUUCCAGCGUUUCUUCACAGUUAUUGUUCACCCUCUUGUUUUACCUGAACCUUGUUUACCUGUUUACCACUCACCUGACCCUCAUGAACCCGCUCUGUUUAGUGUUGGUGUCGUGCUGAUGUGUCCCUCAGUCUGUCCUUUGGUUCAUGACAAAUCGGUUUGUUAGAAUAAUGAGAUUUUCUUCGAUGAUAAUCAGGACACUGUUGGAGAAGUCUUUCACUGACAGACAUCUCUAAACUUGUUCGCUUUGAUUUCUGAUUUUGUGAUUUUUCCUCGUGUUUCUGUUCCCCAUCGUUCCUCUUCUCCUGUCGUCUUGUCUUGUGAGUUUUCAGUUUGUGUCUGACCCUGGUUCCCUCCUGUUCUCAGUGUUUUAUUCUCUAUUAUCAGUUUUCAGGGUUUCCUGUUUUAUUUUGUAGGAGUUUAUUCCCUGUGUGUCUGGUCUUAUUUUACUUCCUCUGUGAUUGUCCUCACCUGUGUCUCAGUGUCUCACCUGUUGCUGAAUCCUUUGUGUCGUCCUGCAUUUUGGGUCCUUUUUCUGAUUUCAACCUCAACGAGGAUAAACAGCCUGUCUUAGAUCUGUUCCCUUUAAUUAUCAAGAGUUGGUGACCAGAUAUCAGCCACACACACACACACACACACACACACACACACACACACACACACAGAGGAACACGUGUUCAGUGGACUCAGGUUCAACAUUUUAAUAACUGAUCAUCUCCAUGUACAAACCGGAUACAGUGACGCGUCAUUCUGCUUCAACUUCCACCAGGUCAGGCAUAAUGAGGGCGAAAGCCUUUGUGUGUGUGUGUGUGUGUGUGUGUGUGCGUGUGUGUGUGCGUGUGUGUGUGUGUGUGUGUGCGUGUGUGUGUGUGGUUACUGGAUGCUGUAAAUGGAGAGACGUACACACAUGCUCACACUGAAGAACAUAAAUAGAUUUAAAUAAAAAAACGACGUUAUCGUGGAAUGAAAUGAUUUCUCCUGAGAGGAGGAGAAGGUGGCACCUGAAACCUUCACCACAGAUCCGGGUCACAGGUGUGAUGGUGAGUCCUGAGCUCAGAGCAGUCCCAGACUGAGACCAGAUCUGACUCCAGGUUCUGUUCACUGAAACAGAACCGAACCUUAAACUGGUCGGCAGGUUCAGAUCCAGCUUUUAUUUCAGACAUCGUGGUGAGGUCGACCCCGGAGCUCGUUGGAAAUAACUCAGCAGACAUGCUGUUGCUAUGACAACAGGUCUUGGUACAUGGGCUGCCUGCUACAAUAAGACCCGACUCUGGAGGCCCUGAGAGACCCCGAGUGAUGAAGACUUGGAGGUUUUUAUUCCUGCUCUAACCCCCCUGAAUGAACCCGUUAGUAUCCUCCGAUCGUAGCUGAUCGUAACCGUUCAAGUUAACGUGUCGAUUUACACCGACUUCUUUCAAAACGGGCGGAGACGAACAAGUGAAAGGUUUUUAGACGUCAUUUCACCCCGAUGACACCAUGGAUGAGGAGAUGCUGAUUCUAGAAGUCUAGAAGUAGAUUUCCUCCUCUGGAAGGACACAAUCUACUGCUUAUAUGUCUAUGUGUCUGUCUUUACAGAGACGACUCGUUAUCGAGCGAUUGAACGUGAAUCUGAAGGUUCUUGUGAGUUCUCCUGAUUACCGCUGUCUGUAAUCCACCAGGAAACUCACCUCACAAACAGACCUGCCGUUCCAGGAUGGGGUGGAAAUCGGGGGUCACUACUUGAUCGCUAAUCAAUCAUGCUACUGCUACAGCGCGCCGUCCGUCAGCUGUUCUUGUGUUUUGACAGAAACACACCGAACUUUGUGCAGCAGUUGGAGGUGAGAGGAGCCAUCUGACACCUCCUGAGCUCUGCAGCACAACAAACAGUGUUAGUGGACACAGGUCCUAACUGGUUUGGUGUUAGUGGACACAGGUCCUAACUGGUUUGGUGUUAGAGGACACGGGUCCUAACUGGUUUGGUGUUAGUGGACACGGGCCCUAACUGGUUUGGUGUUAGAGGACACGGGUCCUAACUGGUUUGGUGUUAGAGGACACGGGCCCUAACUGGUUUGGUGUUAGAGGACACGGGUCCUAACUGGUUUCUGUGGUGGGAUGAGUUCUCACCAUGACCUCCUUCCAGAGGUCCUUCACUGAGAGGGGGGCGGGGUUCUAGCAGGCAGCCCGGUUCAGCUCCUCCAUGGACGCGUGUUUUCUGGUGUCCUUCAUAGAAGCUGGAUCUGAACCCAAACUCGACAGAGCUGUCUCCAUCUGAGUCCUCCUCCAACUUCAUCUCUGAUUCAUAAAUAUUCAAGUCCAUGUGGGUCUGCAGGAUCGGUUUUUGCUCAGGAUGGACCGCCGUGGAUUUCUUCUUCUAUGUGCAAAAUCUUGCAAGAGGCAGUUCAGGUGGAGCAGGAAUGAAGUCCAAGAAUACAGAGAAUACAUGAAGCUGUGUGUGUGUGUGUGUGUGUGUGUUCAGAGUGUGCACCAGUGUGUGAUUGAUCGGCAGCACGUCGUUUGUCUGUGUCACUAUUAUUCAGACCGAGGAGCUCAGUCAGCUCCUCCUCCUCCUCCUCCUCCUCCUCAUAUUGCUCUCUGUCCCCCUCUCCUCUCCUCUCCUCUCCUCUCCUCUCCUCCUCUCCUCUCUCUUCUCUCCUCCUCUCCUCUCACCUUCAGGGUCACUCUGGAGAAACUCGAUCACACCAGAUAAAAACACAUUGACAUCUUCAAGUUCCCUAAAACUGCAGACAUUCAUGUUUUUUUUACUGUGGUUAUUAUUUACAAUAGAAGGAUCUUCAUAUAUUAAUCUUCUUCUUCUUCUUCUUCAGGCCUCCUCUCCUC